CUUCGACGCUGAACUCUCCUGAAUGACUGACCGGCCGCAUCUCAGGCUGAAGUGUGAGCACCUGAGGGGUUCUCCUGAGGCGCUUGGAGAAGAGUGGCCGAAAUAACUUUUCUUACAAGCUGAGAAUUUCUGGAAUGUGGAAGUACCAGGAUUCUGUAAUGAAAUGUCAGAUGGAGGCUGAAGAAGAGUGGGUGGAGACAAGCCAAAAACUCGCCAGAAGACUGUUUACCAAGAGCUGCAAGCAAAGAAUGGAAAUUUCCAAUUGCAGCAUCAAGGGCUGCUGUUCUGCUGACUGUCUUGCUCAGCCGGGGUCAUCUGCUUCUCUAAGAUAUCAAGGAAUGCCAAGGGAAAAAGAAUGAAAUGGAAGCACUCGUUCGUCUCCCUCUGCUCCAUCUCCCUCUGAGCAUUACAGCAGUGACUGACCUGUGGAUCUGACGUGAAUUGUAAUGUGGGAUCAUAGAAAUGAAAGUAACCUCUGAAGUAGUUUCAUCUACCUUCCAUCUUUGGCAAGUAAGCCCCAAACUGUUACAAAGAGUUAGUAUUUCAGAAACUUUCCCCUAGGCAAUUUUCCCCAAAUCCAACCUACAUUCUACCUUACAGGAUGGCAGGAACAAUUUUUCUUGUGCGCUACAGUGGAGACGUGAAAACAGCUUUUUGCCAUAGCUAAUCAUCAUAACCAUUUCUGCAUCACAUGGGUUAUUUUUCUGGACUAUGGGGAGACAGCCUAGAAUAAUAGGUAAGAAUUCAGGCUUAGAGACAGACAGAUUUGUGCUUAAGCCACAGCUGUAUCAUCACAGGCAAUUUACUUAAGUUUCUCUAAGCCUCAAUUUCCUCACCCAUAAUGUAGGGAUGAUAAUACAGUCCAGCUGAUCAAAUUACUGUGAAGAAUAGUCUAGAAUAAGUGCUAGAAUAAAUCCAAUAGAAAUAUAAUGCAAGCCACAAAUGUGAGUCGCAUAUGUAAUGUAAAAUUUUCUCGUAGCCCCAUUAAGAAACAUAAAAAGAAACAGGUGAAAUUAAUUUUAGUAAUAUAUGUUACUCAACAUAUCCAAAACAUCAUUUCAACAUGUAAAAAAUAUUAGUGAGAUAUUUUAUGUUCUCUUUUUGGUACUAAGUCAUCAAAAUCCAAUGUGUAUUUUAUACAUAUGGUUUGUUUCAACUCAAACUAACAACAUUUAAGCACUUAAUAAGCCACCUGUGGCCAGUGGUUACUGUAGUGGAGAGUCCAGGUUUUGACAAAAGCUAUAAAGCAUUUAGCAUUAUGCUAGGUGUGUAGUGAAUGUUAAAAGGUUGGGGCUGCUAUUAUUUUUCUUAAUAUUAUUCUUAGAGAACUCUGUAAUCUUCUCAAAGCCUUCACUUCUCCAGACUGACCCUAGCUAUGAUGCUCUUAGGAGUACCUGGGGAGACUGGGUUACUCAAGCCAAGCACUUCAGUUACUUCAAAGGCAACUUCCUCAUGGCUAAUCCCCAUCUAUCAUAUGGAGGGGGUCACAAAAAGUGGCAUCUGCAUGGAGAAUGACCUUCAAUACUGACACAUUAAACCCCAAGAAGUAGGCACCACCACUAAUCUGCUACCUUCUCAUACAAAUAGUACAGGAUAGGACAUCUGCUAAAGCAACCACUUGUUCCUAUGAUUUUCCCCUUGUAAGUAGUGAGGUGCUAUGCAGUACAUUGUACUCAAAAGUUGAUUUGCUAAGUUAAACAUACAGUUAGAAUAUGAUCCAGCAAUUUCAGUGGUAUAACCAAGAAAAUUAUAAGACUUAUGUCUGCACAAAAACUUGUAAACAAAUGUACACAGCAGCAUUAUUCAUAAUGGCAAAGAAGUGGAAACAACCCAGAUGUCCAUCAACUGAUGAAUGGAUAAACAAAAUGUGAUAAAUCCAUACAAUGGAAUAUUAUUCAGUAAUGAAAAGAAAUGAAGUACUAAUUCAUGCUACAGCAUGGACAAACCUUGAAACCACGUUGCUCAGUGAAAGAAGUCAGACACAAAAGGCCACAUAUUGCGUGAUUCCAUUUAUGUGAAAUAUCCACCAUGGGCAAAUCCAUAGAGAGAAAAAACAGAUUCUUGGUUUCCAAGGGCUAGGGAGAGGGGAGAAUUGAGAGUGACUGCUAACAGGUAUAGAGUUUCUGUCCGGAGUGAUGGAAAUAUUUUGGAAUCAGAUAAUGGCAAUGGUUGUACAUCACUGUGAAUAUACUAAAAACCACUGAAUCGCUAAAAAAAGAAAGUUGAUUUGUUGUCCGAGGGAAGCAUGGUCAGAUACACAGUACUGCCAGAGCCCCAGAAUAGAGAAGUAUUUGUAAGACUUUAAAAAUAGAAGAGAUCACCCAUGUCCAAAAUAUUAUUUGAUAGGAUAUCAUUUUUAACUACAGCAUGCAUAAUAUCAAGCCCUUCUCACCUUUUCAUAAAUGUAAAUUGUUUUACAUUUUAACAUUAAGCAUAUUAACUACUAAGAGGGCACAAACUUCAAGGACACACGCAUAUACAUAAACAUAAAUGCAUGUAAAUGUGUCAGAACCUUCUGAAAGACUGUACCUGUCAUUCUUUUGUUUGGAGCUCUCCCACCACUCCCAUCUCACCCUCAGGAUGGCCCCACACCCCCCAGUGCCACCUGCCUACUGUGUGGCAGCAGAGUACAACAGUGAAGGCAUGGGCCAGACACAGCCAGACAGCCCCAGUUAAAGUCCAGGUCUCACUGCUCACUAGCUCUGUGACUUUGAGCACCCUUCCUAACUUUUCUGUGGCUCAGUUUCCCUUUACAACAGGGAUGAUAAGAGUGCCCAGGCUUGUUGCAAGGAUUAACAGAAUUAACAUAUAAAGUACUUAACAAGAAUGCCUGGCCUGUAUACUACUCAAAGCAAUCUACAGAUUUAAUGUGAUCCCUAUCAAAUUACCCAGGACAUUUUUUCACAGAACUAGAAUAAAUAAUUCUAAAAUUUAUAUGAAAUCAAAAAAGACCCAGAAUUGCCAAAGUAAUACUGAGGAAAAACAACAAAGCUAGAGGCAUAACCCUCCCAGACUUCAGACACGCUACAAAGCUGCUGUAAUCACAACAGCACAGUAUUGGCACAAAACAGACAAAAUGGCACAAAAUGGAUCAAUGAAACAGAAAAGAGAGCUCAGAAAGAAACUGACACACCUAUGGUCAAUUAAUCUUCAACAAAGGAGGCAAAAAUAUACAAUGAAGAAAAAGUCUUUCUGACAAGUGGUAUUGGGAAAGCUGGACAGCCAUAUGUUAAUCAAUAAAAUUAGAAUGCUCCCUCGCACCAUACACAAAAAUAAACUCAAAAUGGCUUAAGACUUAAACAUAAGACAAGACACUAUAAACCUCCUAGAAGGGAACACAGGUAAAACAUUCUCUAAUAUAAACUGUGGCAAUGUUCUCCUAGGGCAGUCUACCGAGGCAAUAGAAAUAAAAGCAAAAAUAAAUAAAUGGGACCUAUUUGAACUUAUAAGCUUUUGCACAGCAAAGGAAGUAAUAAACAAAAUGAAAAGAUAACCUACAGAAUGGGAGAAAAUAUUUGCAAAUGAUGUGACUGACAUGGGUUUAAUUUCCAGAAUAUACAAACAGCUCAUAAAACUCAAUAAAAAGAAACAAACAACCCAAUCCAAAAAUGGGCAGAAGACCUAAACAAACAUUUCUCCAAUGAAGAAAUAGCCAAUAGGCACAUGAAAAAAUGCUCAAUAUUCUAAUUAUCAGAGAAAUGCAAAUCAAAACUACAAUGAGGUUAUCACCUCACACUGGUCAGAAUGGCCAUCAUUAAAAAGUUCACAAAUGAUAAGUGCUGGAGAGGGUGUGAAGAAAAGGGACUCUUCCUAUGCUGUUGGUAGAAAUGUAGUUUGGUGCAGCCAUUAUGGAAAACAUUAUGGAGAAUCCUUAAAGAACUGAAAAUAGAUUUACCCUGUGAUCCAGCAAUCCCACUCCUGGGCAUAUAUCCAGAGGGAACUCUAAUUUGAAAAGAUACAUGCAUCCCAAUGUUCAUAGCAGCACUGUUUACAAUAGCCAAGACAUGGAAACAAAUAUCCAACCACAGAUGACUGGAUAAAGAAGAUGUGGUAUAUAUACACAAUGGAGUACUACUCAGCUGUAAAAAAAAGAAUAAAAUAAUGCCAUUUGUAGCAACAUGGAUGGACCUGGAGAUUGUCAUACUAAGUGAAGUAAGCCAGAAAGAGAAAAAUACCAUAUGAUAUCACUUAUAUGUGGAAUCUUAAAAAAAUGGACACAAAUGAUCUUAUUGACAAAACAGAGACAGACUCACAGACAUAGAAAACAAACUUAUGGUUACCACGGGGGAAAUGGGGUAGGGAGGGAUAAAUUGGGAGUUCAGGAUUUGCAGAUACUGACUACUAUAUAUAAAACAGAUAAACAACAAGGUCCUACUGUAUAGCAUUGAGAACUAUAUUCAGUAUAUAUGUAAUAGCUUAUAAUGAAAAAGAAUAUGAAAAGAAAUAUGUAUAUAUGUGUAAGUGAAUCACUAUGCUGUACAUCAAAAAUUAAUAC